UGUCGUUUGUUUGUUAAUUAUGUGAUAGAAUUGGGUUCGGGAACCGGAGUGCGGAGUGGGGUUAUUCCUGUGCAAGAGUCAGCAACUCAGGGAAAUGGUGUGUUUGGCCCUGAUUUUUGGUCCUGGACUCCUCCCGUGGAGAGUGACGUUCCUUCAGAUGAGGACAGUGUCCAACUUUGCCCGAUGCAAUUGUGGAGAAGGAGCGGACUCCGCAAUUUCUCUCUAUUCCAUUUGCGAGUUUACUUUCUCAAAGACAACAGAGUGACACUCUUCCACCAUUUCAGUCACUUUUAGAGGUUGAGAAAGUGAAAUCUGCAUCUAACCACAGUCGAAGCAAUUAUGAUUCUGAACCUAUGCUCUGUAUUUCUAACAGUUUUGGCUUUACACAAGUUACACAAUUAGAAGGUUGAGUUUUACAAGCUCUUGAGGUCUGCAAAGUGGCAAGCAGCAUGUGGUCUAAACUAGGCUGCCUAAACCGAUCGACAAUGCCUAAACUUGGAAGAAGUAAGGUUUUUGGUUCUGGAGUAGAUCUUGGUAUCAUGCACGCAUUGCAGAUCGACCUUUGUGAUACAUGUGUUUUUAGGUUAGUUACUCUUUAUGUCACCUUGCAAAAUCACACCUGAACAAGUUUCGGAAGGAAGUUGCGCCACAUGAAGUUCUGAAAAGGUUCCAAUCAGGAGAAUCGCUAAUGGAGCUUGUAAGUUCCAAUAUAGUCAAACAACUUUCGCUAAUGGAGCUUCUGCUGAAAAAUCUAGUAGAUAGCAGAAAGAAGGUAAAGUCGUGGAUAAAGGAUGAAAAAGCUGAUCCUAUAAGAGUUCAGCAACGAGAUAUUCAGCAGCAAGCACUUAAGCUUACCGCUAGCAGAAGUAUGUAUGGAUGCCUGUGAUUUUCUAAUUAAAGAGGUAGAGGCAGGAGGCAGGACCAGAACUAGGAGCCAAAGCCAGGAGCCAAAGCUAAGAGCUAAAACUAGUAGCUAGUAGCUAACAACUAAUACUAGUAAUUAGAGAUAGUAGCUAA